CGUGUAGGCGGCCUAGUAAGUCAGAUGUGAAAGCCCUUGGCUUAACCAAGGAAGGGCAUUUGAAACUGCUUGGCUUGAGUACGGGAGGGGGAAGCGGAAUUCCCGGUGUAGAGGUGAAAUUCGUAGAUAUCGGGAGGAACACCGGUGGCGAAGGCGGCUUCCUGGACCGAUACUGACGCUGAGACGCGAAAGCGUGGGGAGCAAACAGGAUUAGAUACCCUGGUAGUCCACGCCAUAAACGUUGGGCACUAGGUGUUGCGGGUAUUGACCCCUGCAGUGCCGAAGCUAACGCAUUAAGUGCCCCGCCUGGGGAGUACGGUCGCAAGGCUAAA
rnacentral:rRNA from 1 species